UCCGCAGUAGCUCAAUGGUAGAGCGUUCCCCUGUUAAGGGAAGGGUUGUAGGUUCGAAUCCUACCUGCGGAG
rnacentral:tRNA from 1 species